rnacentral:rRNA from 1 species
CCUACGGGUGGCAGCAGUAGGGAAUGUUGCGCAAUGGGCGAAAGCCUGACGCAGCAACGCCGCGUGAACGAGACGGGCUUCGGGGUGUAAAGUUCUGUCAGUGGGGACGAAAAAUGACGGUACCCACAGAGGAAGCACCGGCUAACGCCGUGCCAGCAGCCGCGGUAAUACGGAGGGUGCAAGCGUUGUCCGGAAUCAUUGGGCGUAAAGAGUUCGGAGGGGGCAUGGAAAGGCAGGUGUUAAAGGCGCAGGCUCAACCUGUGGAUGGCACUUGAUACUUGCAAGCUGGAAUGCGGUAGCGGUAACGGGAAUUCCUGGUGUAGCGGUGAAAUGCUUAGAUAUCAGGAGGAACAUCGGUGGCGUACGCGCUUUACUGGGCCGUAAUUGACGCUGAGGAACGAAAGCCCGGGUAGCAAAUGGGAUUAGAUACCCGUGUAGUC